UGGGGAAUAUUGGACAAUGGGGGGAACCCUGAUCCAGCCAUGCCGCGUGUGUGAAGAAGGCCUUAUGGUUGUAAAGCACUUCAAGCGAGGAGGAGGGUACUGGUAUUAAUACUACCAGGUACUGGACGUUACUCGCAGAAUAAGCACCGGCUAACUCUGUGCCAGCAGCCGCGGUAAUACAGAGGGUGCGAGCGUUAAUCGGAUUUACUGGGCGUAAAGCGUGCGUAGGCGGCUAAUUGAGUCGGAUGUGAAAUCCCCGAGCUUAACUUGGGAAUUGCAUUCGAUACUGGUUAGCUAGAGUGUGGGAGAGGAUGGUAGAAUUCCAGGUGUAGCGGUGAAAUGCGUAGAGAUCUGGAGGAAUACCGAUGGCGAAGGCAGCCAUCUGGCCUAACACUGACGCUGAGGUACGAAAGCAUGGGGAGCAAACAGG
rnacentral:rRNA from 1 species